GCGGGAGUGGCGGAACUGGCAGACGCGCACGUUUGAGUGGCGUGUGGUUCACACCGUACGGGUUCAAGUCCCGUUUCCCGCACCA
rnacentral:tRNA from 1 species